GACGAACGCUGGCGGCGUGCUUAACACAUGCAAGUCGAACGAUGAAGCCGGAGCUUGCUCUGGUGAAUUAGUGGCGAACGGGUGAGUAACACGUGAGUAACCUGCCCUUGACUCUGGGAUAACUGCGGGAAACUGUAGCUAAUACCGGAUACGACCCUCGGAGGCAUCUCCUGGGGGUGGAAAGAAUUUCGGUCAAGGAUGGACUCGCGGCCUAUCAGCUAGUUGGUGAGGUAAAGGCUCACCAAGGCGACGACGGGUAGCCGGCCUGAGAGGGUGACCGGCGACACUGGGACUGAGACACGGCCCAGACUCGUACGGGAGGCAGCAGUGGGGAAUAUUGCACAAUGGCGCAAGCCUGAUGCAGCAACGCCGCGUGAGGGAUGACGGCCUUCGGGUUGUAAACCUCUUUUAGCAGGGAAGAAGCGAAAGUGACGGUACCUGCAGAAAAAGCACCGGCUAACUACGUGCCAGCCGCCGCCGUAA
rnacentral:rRNA from 1 species